GUGAGGAAUAUUGCGCAAUGGAGGCAACUCUGACGCAGCCAUGCCGCGUGCAGGAAGAAGGCGCUACGCGUUGUAAACUGCUUUUAACCGGGAAGAAACCCCAGGACGUGUCCUGGGUUGACGGUACCGGAGGAAUAAGCACCGGCUAACUUCGUGUCAGCAGCCGCGGUAAUACGAAGGGUGCAAGCGUUAUCCGGAUUCAUUGGGUUUAAAGGGUGCGUAGGCGGAGCGUUAAGUCAGUGGUGAAAUCCUGCAGCUUAACUGUAGACUUGCCAUUGAUACUGGCGCUCUUGAGUGCGCUUGAAGUGGGCGGAAUGUGCCGUGUAGCGGUGAAAUGCUUAGAUAUGGCACAGAACACCAAUUGCGAAGGCAGCUCACUAAGGCGAUACUGACGCUGAGGCACGAAAGCGUGGGGAUCGAACAGGAUUAGAAACCCCUGUAGUCC
rnacentral:rRNA from 1 species